UACAGAGGUCUCAAGCGUUGUUCGGAUUCAUUGGGCGUAAAGGGUGCGUAGGUGGCGGGGCAAGUUUGGUGUGAAAUCCCGGGGCUCAACCUCGGAACUGCACUGAAUACUGCCUUGCUAGAGUACUGGAGAGGGAACUGGAAUUUACGGUGUAGCAGUGAAAUGCGUAGAUAUCGUAAGGAAGACCAGUGGCGAAGGCGAGUUCCUGGACAGUUACUGACGCUGAGGCACGAAGGCCAGGGGAGCAAACGGG
rnacentral:rRNA from 1 species